rnacentral:lncRNA from 1 species
UAUUGUAACUCUUGGAUCGUCUGUCGUCUGGUGAUUGAUCAACGGAAAUAAAACAAUGCCAAUAAUCAGUAGCCGUUCUCAAAGGCUGUGAAAUAUUUCUGUUUUAAGACUUUAAAACGUACAUGAUUAAAACGUUUUAUUCUAUGGUUUUAAGUUUAAAAAAAGUAUAAUAGAAAUGUUAUUUUCAGGCAAAACAAAACGUUUCAAGUUAAGUAAGGCGUUAGAAAAUCAAAACCGGAAGUGAAUUCCGUAUAACCCCC